UACGGGGGGAGCAAGCGUUGUUCGGAUUUACUGGGCGUAAAGGGCGCGUAGGCGGUCGUGACAAGUCACUUGUGAAAUCUCCGGGCUUAACUCGGAACGGUCAAGUGAUACUGUCGGACUAGAGUACAGAAGGGGCAACUGGAAUUCUCGGUGUAGCGGUGAAAUGCGUAGAUAUCGAGAGGAACACCUGCGGCGAAGGCGGGUUGCUGGGCGUGAUGACUGACGCUGAGGCGCGAAGCCAGGGAGCGAACGGG
rnacentral:rRNA from 1 species